rnacentral:antisense_RNA from 1 species
UUAUGGUAGGGCGGAGGGGGGACACCUUCGGGUGUGCUGGUUCUGUACCCAGUCUGCUAACCCCCUUUCGUUCUGCCACCA